rnacentral:rRNA from 1 species
CAGUAGCGUAUAUUAAAGUUGUUGCAGUUGAAACGCUCGUAGUCUGAGGUAACUCCUUUUGGAACAACCGCUCGCCUCGCUAGUCAACUGACUGGUGAGAUCCCGACGGUUUUUCACCUUGAAUAAAUCAGAGUGUUCAAGGCAGGCACAGCCUGAAUACUUCCGCAUGGAAUGAGACGAAUAUUAUUUCCCUUGUUUCGGUGCUUGGGUUUGUUAAUAUCUUUAGGAACAGUCGAGGACAUUUGUACUUAAUCGAGAGAGGUGAAAUUCUUGGACCGAUUAAUGACAAACAAAAGCGAAAGCAUCUGCCAAGGAUGUUUUCUUUGAUCAAGAACGAAGGUCAGGGUAUCGAAGACGAUCAGAUACCAU